GCGGCGAUAGCUUCGUCUUCUUCUCUCCCUCCGAUUAAGGCGAAGUCGAAAGAGAGAAGUUGAGCCUUUGUCUCCGCAUCUGCUCUGUCUCGGAAAUCUCAUAUCCCGCGAUAUAGUCAAGGUGAGCUUAACCAGGAAAAAUUCAAUCGAUAAGCAGCAACAAACCUUCGUUUACUCGAAGCUAAAAGGGCGAAGAAGACAUGGGACUCGACGAUAUGUACGACUAUGGAAUAAACAGUCCACUAGAUUAUAGUUCGGAUUCAGAAGAGGAGGAGGCUGAGACCUGUUACUAUCCUCCGAAACCAUCAACUGAGAUUGAUGAACCUAGAGCCGUGAAGCUUACUUCCUCUGGAGGAAGUAAGGGCAUCUUUUUAGGGAGCCGUGAAGCUUCACCACCUCCUGAUUGGGAGACAUCACUGAUCCAGCUCAACGAACAACUAAUCGAGCUCAAGGACCAACAAAACCAUUCAGUUCAGAGGUUGAUGAACCUAGAGAAGCUUGUAACUGAGUUAGGUGAGAGGAAACCAAUGUUUCAAAUGGCUUCUGAAUUAAUUGUUGUUGUUUGCGUCUGUAUGAGUGUUUUCGUAGUGGCACUUCUCAUGUUUAGUAAGUAAAUUAGCCAGAGUCACAUGUAUUAGAUUGUAUGAUCAGUUUGAUAUUUGGAUUGUAUGAUCAGUUUGAUAUUUGUAUGGUUUUGUUUGAAAGACAGAGUCACAUGUGUUUGUCUUCUUUUGAAAAAGAGUCACAUGUAUUUGUUUUG